rnacentral:misc_RNA from 1 species
AUGAUUUUAAUGAGUAUUUUUGGUAUGAUUUCUGUAACACGGUUUAUUUUGUAAAAUUCCAUUCCGAAUCAAACAAAUUUUAAAUUUCAUUUUAUGCCGAUUCAGGUGUUUGGAACAAAAAUUAGUUGCUGUGAUAUGAAUUGAGGACCUUUGAUUUCAAUAUGUUAUAUACGUAGGAAAAUUGUUGCCUAAACCAAUAGCAUUAUGCCAAGCCAAAGGGAAAUUAGCACUUUGCGAAAAAGACAGUUUUGCAUUGGUUGAAAUUUAAAAUUUGAAAU